UAGUCCACGCCGUAAACGAUGUCAACUAGCCGUCGGGCUCAUUAUAAGGGUUUGGUGGCGCAGCUAACGCGAUAGGUUGACCGCCUGGGGAGUACGCCGGCAACGGUAAAACUCAAAGGAAUUGACAGGGGCCCGCACAAGCGGUGGAGCAUAUGGUUUAAUUCGAUGCAACACGAAGAACCUUACCAGGGUUUGACAUCCUACGAAUUCCGAUGAAAGUUGGAAGUGCCUUCGGGAGCGUAGAGACAGGUGGUGCAUGGCUGUCGUCAGCUCGUGUCGUGAGAUGUUGGGUUAAGUCCCGCAACGAGCGCAACCCUCGUUUUUAGUGCCAUCAUUAAGUUGGGCACUCUAGAGAGACUGCCGGUGACAAACCGGNGGAAGGUGGGGAUGACGUCAAGUCAUCAUGCCCCUUANACCCUGGGGCUACACACGUACUACAAUGCAAC
rnacentral:rRNA from 1 species